rnacentral:lncRNA from 1 species
CAGAUUCUAACUCAGGACCAAUCAGAGAAAGCCAAAGAUGCUUCUUCCCAAAUUAAUCCAUGAGAUGCUUCUAGUUAGCCCGCCUCCAGCCUCCCCAAGUCAACAACCUCCAAAGAGAGCAUGCUGGACACCUUCCCUUCUUCGCUAUAAAGCUUUCUCUCUGCACGGCCUUCAAGUCAAGCAAAUGUUGGCAAAGUUCAAAAAGCUUAUCAAUCAACACUGAGUGGACCUUCCCUAAGGAAUUGUAAAGUUGGCAACAGAGAAAGAAUAUCCACUUAAUAACACUUCUAUUCAACAUUGUGCAAAUGUUCAUGAAAGACAUAAAUUGUGGAAAAGAAGAAGUAAAGCUUUCUCUAUUCAAAGAUGACAUCAUUCUACAUGUAGAAAAUCCAAAAGAAUCUGCCCAAAAAACUACUAGAACUAAUAUGAAAAUUUAGCAAAAUUGUAAAAUACAAGUUUAAUAUAAAAUUCAAUUAUAUUUCUAUCUACUACCUACAAAAAUUGGAAAAUAAAAUAUAAUAUUACUUACAAUAGCAUCAAAUACAUAAAAUGUUUAGGAAUUGAUUGAAUGCUGUGUAAAAACUCUGUGCUAAAAUAUUGCAAAACAUUAAAACAUUGCUGAAUGAAAUUAAACAAGACUUAAAUAAAUGGAGA